AGUGAACGCUGGCGGUAGGCCUAACACAUGCAAGUCGAACGGCAGCACAGUAAGAGCUUGCUCUUACGGGUGGCGAGUGGCGGACGGGUGAGGAAUACAUCGGAAUCUACUUUUUCGUGGGGGUUAACGUAGGGAAACUUACGCUAAUACCGCAUACGACCUACGGGUGAAAGCAGGGGAUCUUCGAACCUUCGCCGAUUGAUUGAGCCGAUGUCGGAUUAGCUAGUUGGCGGGGUAAAGGCCCACCAAGGCGACGAUCCGUAGCUGGUCUGAGAGGAUGAUCAGCCACACUGGAACUGAGACACGGUCCAGACUCCUACGGGAGGCAGCAGUGGGGAAUAUUGGACAAUGGGCGCAAGCCUGAUCCAGCCAUACCGCGUGGGUGAAGAAGGCCUUCGGGUUGUAAAGCCCUUUUGUUGGGAAAGAAAAGCAGCAGGUUAAUACCCCGCUGUUCUGACGGUACCCAAAGAAUAAGCACCGGCUAACUUCGUG
rnacentral:rRNA from 1 species